rnacentral:ncRNA from 1 species
UACCUGGUUGAUCCUGCCAGUAACAUAUGCUUGUCUCAAAGACUAAGCCAUGCAUGUCUAAGUAUAAACAACUUUAUACUGUGAAACUGCGUACAGCUCAUUAUAUCAGCAAUUAUUUAUUUGAUGGUACCUUACUACAUGGAUAACCGUGGUAAUUCUAGAGCUAAUACAUGCACAAAGUCCCGACUCUUGCGGGGAGGGAUGUAUUUAUUAGAUACAAAACCAAUACCACCUCUGGUGGGCAUUGUGGUGACUCAUAAUAACUGAUCGAAUCGCAUGGCUUCACGCUGGCGAUAGUCUCAUUCAAAUUUCUGCCCUAUCAACUUUCGAUGGUAGUGUAAAGGCUACCAUGGCUAUAACGGGUAACGGG